rnacentral:rRNA from 1 species
UACGUAGGUGGCGAGCGUUGUCCGGAUUUACUGGGCGUAAAGAGCGCGCAGGCGGCUGGUCAAGUCCGAUGUGAAAGCUCCCGGCUUAACUGGGAAAUUGCAUCGGAAACUGAUCGGCUGGAAGGUGGGAGAGGGUAGCGGAAUUCCUGGUGUAGCGGUGAAAUGCGCAGAUAUCAGGAGGAACACCAAUGGCGAAGGCAGCUCGCUGGGACGUGACUGACGCUGAGACGCGAAAGCGUGGGGAGCAAACAGG